GACGAACGCUGGCGGCGUGCCUAAUACAUGCAAGUAGAACGCUGAAGGAGGAGCUUGCUUCUCUGGAUGAGUUGCGAACGGGUGAGUAACGCGUAGGUAACCUGCCUGGUAGCGGGGGAUAACUAUUGGAAACGAUAGCUAAUACCGCAUAAUAUUGACUAUUGCAUGAUAGUCAGUUGAAAGGUGCAACUGCACCACUACCAGAUGGACCUGCGUUGUAUUAGCUAGUUGGUGGGGUAACGGCUCACCAAGGCGACGAUACAUAGCCGACCUGAGAGGGUGAUCGGCCACACUGGGACUGAGACACGGCCCAGACUCCUGCGGGAGGCAGCAGUAGGGAAUCUUCGGCAAUGGACGGAAGUCUGACCGAGCAACGCCGCGUGAGUGAAGAAGGUUUUCGGAUCGUAAAGCUCUGUUGUAAGAGAAGAACGAGUGUGAGAGUGGAAAGCUCACACUGUGACGGUAGCUUACCAGAAAGGGACGGCUAACUACGUG
rnacentral:rRNA from 1 species